rnacentral:rRNA from 1 species
AUUGAACGCUGGCGGCAGGCCUAACACAUGCAAGUCGAACGGUAACAGGAAGCAGCUUGCUGCUUCGCUGACGAGUGGCGGACGGGUGAGUAAUGUCUGGGAAGCUGCCUGAUGGAGGGGGAUAACUACUGGAAACGGUAGCUAAUACCGCAUAAUGUCGCAAGACCAAAGAGGGGGACCUUCGGGCCUCUUGCCAUCGGAUGUGCCCAGAUGGGAUUAGCUUGUUGGUGGGGUAACGGCUCACCAAGGCGACGAUCCCUAGCUGGUCUGAGAGGAUGACCAGCCACACUGGAACUGAGACACGGUCCAGACUCCUACGAGAGGCAGCAGUGGGGAAUAUUGCACAAUGGGCGCAAGCCUGAUGCAGCCAUGCCGCGUGUAUGAAGAAGGCCUUCGGGUUGUAAAGUACUUUCAGCGGGGAGGAAGGGAGUAAAGUUAAUACCUUUGCUCAUUGACGUUACCCGCAGAAGAAGCACCGGCUAACUCCGUG